AUUGAACGCUGGCGGAAUGCUUUACACAUGCAAGUCGAACGGUAGAGGGGGCAACCCCUUGAGAGUGGCGAACGGGUGAGUAAUGUAUCGGAACGUGCCCAGUCGUGGGGGAUAACGUAGUGAAAAUUACGCUAAUACCGCAUACGAUCUAUGGAUGAAAGCGGGGGAUCGCAAGACCUCGCGCGAUUGGAGCGGCCGAUAUCAGAUUAGGUAGUUGGUAGGGUAAAGGCCUACCAAGCCAACGAUCUGUAGCUGGUCUGAGAGGACGACCAGCCACACUGGAACUGAGACACGGUCCAGACUCCUACGGGAGGCAGCAGUGGGGAAUUUGGACAAUGGGCGAAAGCCUGAUCCAGCCAUUCCGCGUGCAGGAUGAAGGCCCUCGGGUUGUAAACUGCUUUUGUACGGAACGAAAAGGUUUCCAUUAAUACUGGGGACUCAUGACGGUACCGUAAGAAUAAGCACCGGCUAACUACGUG
rnacentral:rRNA from 1 species